GGGUUUAUAUGGACAUAUUUCACUUACAGGACUGGAAGCAGGUGCAAAAACAAGAUUCUUCUAUUCCUUUCUCUUUGAACAUGGAGCAAUGCUGCAAUAAAUCCAAUUGGACCAAAGAGUCAGCAGCAUGUAGGAUUGCAUCUCAGAGGAAGACAAUUAAAAAACCUGGUACUGGAGCAAAUAUUAAACAAGCAAAGGAGAAAAAGGAAUGUAUAAUGGCAACUGAGAAGAGAUAAUGCCAUAAAAGAAUAUAAUGUCAAUAGCCAUGGAUUCCUGACAAGGAUUAAAAGAGAAGCCAAGAAAAUGAAUAGUUGCACUGCAGAGCUUCAGACUCCAAAUCAGCCUAUCUUACAGUCUGACCUGCUGUCCAUACUACCUACCUCCUUCCUAAUUGGGUAACACCCCAUUUAAUACAUUUAUGAGGUGCAUCAGAGAGUUUGAGUACAAGGGAUAAUACCAUGUUUUUUAUCCUAAAGCUGGUUCACAGAUAGAUUCUCUGCUUGCAAGCAUUGCUCUGGACUGUUGUGAAUAAUUUCUCUUGUGCAUAUUACUGAAUAAUACUAAACAGAACAUUAUUUCUGGUUAAAAAUGUGUUCCAAAUUAGUAAUGUAUUAGAGCAAUAACCAAUAAAAAUGUUUGCCUAUGCAAAAAGACCA